rnacentral:rRNA from 1 species
GACGAACGCUGGCGGCGUGCUUAACACAUGCAAGUCGAACGGAAAGGCCCUGCUUUUGUGGGGUGCUCGAGUGGCGAACGGGUGAGUAACACGUGAGUAACCUGCCCUUGACUUUGGGAUAACUUCAGGAAACUGGGGCUAAUACCGGAUAGGAGCUCCUGCUGCAUGGUGGGGGUUGGAAAGUUUCGGCGGUUGGGGAUGGACUCGCGGCUUAUCAGCUUGUUGGUGGGGUAGUGGCUUACCAAGGCUUUGACGGGUAGCCGGCCUGAGAGGGUGACCGGCCAUAUUGGGACUGAGAUACGGCCCAGACUCCUACGGGAGGCAGCAGUGGGGAAUAUUGCACAAUGGGCGGAAGCCUGAUGCAGCAACGCCGCGUGCGGGAUGACGGCCUUCGGGUUGUAAACCGCUUUCGCCUGUGACGAAGCGUAAGUGACGGUAAUGGGUAAAGAAGCACCGGCUAACUACGUG